AUUGAACGCUGGCGGCAGGCCUAACACAUGCAAGUCGAGCGAGCGGCGGAAGGGUGAGUAAUGUAUGGGGACUGCCCGAUAGAGGGGGAUAACUAAUGGAAACGGUGGCUAAUACAGCAUACGGUCGGAUAACCCAUAUGGGAUUAGCUAGUAGGUAAGGUAAUGGCUAACAUAGGCGACGAUCCCUAGCUGGUCUGAGAGGAUGAUCAGCCACACUGGGACGGAGACACGGCCCAGACUCCUACGGAGGCAGCAGUGGGGAAUAUUGCACAAUGGGCGCAAGCCUGAUGCAGCCAUGCCGCGUGUAUGAAGAAGGCCCUAGGGUUGUAAAGUACUUUCAGUCGGGAGGCGUUACCGACAGAAGAAGCACCGGCUAACUCCGUGCCAGCAGCCGCGGUAAUUC
rnacentral:rRNA from 1 species